UACAGAGGGUGCAAGCGUUGUUCGGAAUUAUUGGGCGUAAAGCGCGUGUAGGCGGCUUUGCAAGUCGGGUGUGAAAGCCCUCGGCUCAACCGAGGAAGUGCGCCCGAAACUGCAGAGCUUGAGUACCGGAGAGGAUGGCGGAAUUCCCCAAGUAGAGGUGAAAUUCGUAGAUAUGGGGAGGAACACCGGUGGCGAAGGCGGCCAUCUGGACGGAUACUGACGCUGAGACGCGGAAGCGUGGGUAGCAAACAGG
rnacentral:rRNA from 1 species